GAUCCUGGCUCAGGAUGAACGCUAUCUACAGGCUUAACACAUGCAAGUCGAGGGGAAACGACAUCGAAAGCUUGCUUUUGAUGGGCGUCGACCGGCGCACGGGUGAGUAACGCGUAUCCAACCUGCCUACCACUUGGGGAUAACCUUGCGAAAGUAAGACUAAUACCCAAUGACAUCCCACGAAGACAUCUGAAUGGGAUUAAAGGUUUAUCGGUGAUGGAUGGGGAUGCGUCUGAUUAGCUUG
rnacentral:rRNA from 1 species